GACGAACGCUGGCGGCGUGCUUAACACAUGCAAGUCGAACGGAAAGGCCCUGCUUUUGCGGGGUGCUCGAGUGGCGAACGGGUGAGUAACACGCGAGUAACCUGCCCUUGACUUUGGGAUAACUUCAGGAAACUGGGGCUAAUACCGGAUAGGAGCUCCUGCUGCAUGGGGGGGGUUGGAAAGUUUCGGCGGUUGGGGAUGGACUCGCGGCUUAUCAGCUGGUUGGUGGGGUAGUGGCUUACCAAGGCUUUGACGGGUAGCCGGCCUGAGAGGGUGACCGGCCACAUUGGGACUGAGAUACGGCCCAGACUCCUACGGGAGGCAGCAGUGGGGAAUAUUGCACAAUGGGCGGAAGCCUGAUGCAGCAGCCCCGCGUGCGGGAUGACGGCCUUCGGGUUGUAAACCGCUUUCGCCUGUGACGAAGCGUGAGUGACGGUAAUGGGUAAAGAAGCACCGGCUAACUACGUG
rnacentral:rRNA from 1 species